rnacentral:rRNA from 1 species
GACGAACGCUGGCGGCGUGCUUAACACAUGCAAGUCACGGGGGGUAGCAAUACCAACCGGCGAACGGGUGCGUAACACGUGAGCAACCUGCCGAUCUGAGGGGGAUAGCCGGCCCAACGGCCGGGUAAUACCGCAUACGCUUCUUGAGGGACAUCCCUUGGGAAGGAAACCUCCGGGGCAGAUCGAGGGGCUCGCGGCCUAUCAGCUAGUUGGUGAGGUAACGGCUCACCAAGGCAUCGACGGGUAGCUGGUCUGAGAGGAUGGCCAGCCACAUUGGGACUGAGAGACGGCCCAGACUCCUACGGGAGGCAGCAGUGGGGAAUCUUGCGCAAUGGCCGAAAGGCUGACGCAGCGACGCCGCGUGUGGGAUGAAGCAUUUCGGUGUGUAAACCACUGUUGCCCGGGACGAACAUCCUCUUUCGAGAGGACUGACGGUACCGGGUGAGGAAGCACCGGCUAACUCCGUGCCAGCCGCCGC